rfam:Cucumis sativus cultivar 9930 chromosome 6, whole genome shotgun sequence.
AUGCUAUGAUGACAUCUAACGCUUUCAGUGAUGGUUGGGUCCUUCACAGCCGUCCGAUCUAAUAGGACGAAAUAAAAGCGUUCCUGAGCUU